CCUACGGGUGGCAGCAGUGAGGAAUAUUGGUCAAUGGACGAAAGUCUGAACCAGCCAAGCAGCGUGAAGGAUGACUGCCUUAUGGUUGGUAAACUUCUUUUAUAUGGUAAUAAAAUGUUCCACGUGUGGGAUUUUGUAUGUACCAUAUGAAUAAAGAACGGCUAACUCCGUGCCAGCAGCCGCGGUAAUACGGAGGCUCCGGGCGUUAUCCGGAUUUAUUGGGUUUAAAGGGAGCGUAGGUGGAUUGUUAAGUCAGUUGUGAAAGUUUGCGGCUAAACCGUAAAAUUGCAGUUGAAACUGGCAGUCUUGGGUACAGUAGAGGUGGGCGGAAUUCGUGGUGUAGCGGUGAAAUGCUUAGAUAUCACGAAGAACUCCGAUUGCGAAGGCAGUUCACUGGACUGCAACUGACACUGAGGCUCGAAAGUGUGGGUAGCAAACAGGAUUAGAUACCCCAGUAGUC
rnacentral:rRNA from 1 species